CCAGAUCCUGCCCCAUAGAUCCGGAUUCUGCCCCAUAGAUCCCAGAUCCUGCCCCAUAGAUCCCCUUAUCCUGCCCCACAGAUGCCCAUAGAUCCCCUCGUCCUGCCCCAUAGAUCCCAGAUCCCGCCCCACAGAUCCCCAUAUUGCCCCAUAUCCUGCCCCACAGAUCCCAGAUCCUGCCCCAUAGAUCCCCUUAUCCUGCCCCACAGAUGCCCAUAGAUCCCCUCGUCCUGCCCCAUAGACCCCUUAUCCCGCCCCAUAGAUGCCCAUAGUGCCCCAUAUCCUGCCCCAUAGAUCCCAGAUCCUGCCCCAUAGCGCCCCCCACCCUGCCCCACAUCCAACUCCAAGCUGGGACCAAAGCACCCCCUAAUCCCCCCCCCCAGAAGCCUCAUAGCCUCAAAUCCUAANNNNNNNNNNCCCCCAACGAAGCCAUUUAACCCCCCCCCCAAAGUCAAACAACCCCCCCCCAAAAAAAAUGAAAUCUGGGAGGGACCCCAAAAUGGGGGGGGACCCCAAAACAGGGGGGGAGACCCCGAAAUAUGAAGAGGACCCUGAAAGUGGGGGAGACCCUGAAAUAGGGGAGGGACCCCAAAAUGGGGGAGGGACCCCGAAAUAGGAGAGGGACCCCAAAACGGGGGGGGCACCCCAAAAUGGGGGGGGCACCCCGAAAUGGUGCCGUACCCGCCUUGCUGCAGUCGACGGUGAAGGAAUUCUUCUGGCCCACGAAGGCUUUGCUGAGCCCCAGCCCCUUGGCCACCACCUUGGAGGCGUCCGAAAAUUUGGGGGAGCUCUCGCGAAGGCUGUGGCUGCUCACUAAGCGGGGGCCUGCGGGGGUAAAAAUGGGUAAAAAUGAGGAAAAAUUGGUUAAAAUGGGGAAAUCAGCCCCAAAACGGACCCUGAAAGGGGAGCGGUGCCCCCCAGAAAAUACCUCAAAGGUUCCUGCCCCCCCCCCAUGCUCAGCACAGCCCCCCCAGAGCGCUUCCAUCUAAUUAAGUGCUCCCAAA
rnacentral:lncRNA from 1 species